rnacentral:rRNA from 1 species
UACAGGGGGUGCAAACGUUGCUCGGAAUCAUUGGGCGUAAAGCGUGCGCAGGCGGUUCGUUGUGUCGGCGGUGAAAGCCCCGGGCUUAACCUGGGAAUGGCCGUUGAAACUGGCGAACUGGAGUGUGGCAGAGGGGGGUGGAAUUCCGCGUGUAGCAGUGAAAUGCGUAGAGAUGCGGAGGAACACCGAUGGCGAAGGCAGCCCCCUGGGCUAACACUGACGCUCAGGCACGAAAGCGUGGGGAGCAAACAGG